rnacentral:rRNA from 1 species
AAUAUUGCGCAAUGGAGGAAACUCUGACGCAGCGACGCCGCGUGAGCGAGGAAGGUCUUCGGAUCGUAAAGCUCUGUCUUUGGGGAAGAAGAUUGAAAGAUUUGACGGUACCCGAGGAGGGAUCCCCGGCUAGAUACGCGCCAGCAGCCGCGUUAAUACGGAGGGGGCAAGCGGUGUGCGGAAUUAUUGGGCGUAAAGGGUGCGGAGGCGGCUUUUUAAGACAGAUGUGAAAGACCACGGCUUAACCGUGGGGUUGCAUUUGAAACUGGAAGGCUUGAGUAUCGGAGAGGGUAGUGGAAUUCCCAGUGUAGCGGUGAAAUGCGUAGAUAUUGGGAGGAACACCAGUGGCGAAGGCGACUACCUGGACGAAAACUGACGCUGAUGCACGAAAGCUAGGGGAGCAAACA